rnacentral:rRNA from 1 species
CCUACGGGUGGCAGCAGUAGGGAAUUUUGCGCAAUGGGGGAAACCCUGACGCAGCAACGCCGCGUGAUCGAUGAAGCCCUUCGGGGUGUAAAGAUCUGUCAGUGGGGACGAAACCUGACGGUACCCACAGAGGAAGCACCGGCUAACUCCGUGCCAGCAGCCGAGGUAAUACGGGGGGUGCAAGCGUUGUCCGGGAUUACUGGGCGUAAAGGGUUCGUAGGUGGCACGUUAAGUCAGGUGUUAAAGGCGGAGGCUCAACUUCCGUAGGGCAGUGGAUACUGGCGGGCUUGAGUGCGGUAGAGGUAAGGGGAAUGCGUGGUGUAGCGAUGAAAUGCGUAGAUAUCAGGAGGAACAUCGAUGGCGUAGGCGCUUUACUGGGCCGUAAUUGACACUGAGGAACGAAAGCCGGGGGAGCAAAUGGGAUUAGAUACCCGAGUAGUC